rnacentral:rRNA from 1 species
GUUAAGUGGAAAAGGAUGUGGCGUUGCCCAGACAACUAGGAUGUUGGCUUAGAAGCAGCCAUCAUUUAAAGAGUGCGUAAUAGCUCACUAGUCGAGUGACACUGCGCCGAAAAUGUACCGGGGCUAAACAUAUUACCGAAGCUGUGGAUUGUCCUUUGGACAAUGGUAGGAGAGCGUUCUAAGGGCGUUGAAGCAUGAUCGCAAGGACAUGUGGAGCGCUUAGAAGUGAGAAUGCCGGUGUGAGUAGCGAAAGACGGGUGAGAAUCCCGUCCACCGAUUGACUAAGGUUUCCAGAGGAAGGCUCGUCCGCUCUGGGUUAGUCGGGUCCUAAGCUGAGGCCGACAGGCGUAGGCGAUGGAUAACAGGUUGAUAUUCCUGUACCACCAUUAUUCGUUUUAAGCGAUGGGGGGACGCAGUAGGAUAGGCGAAGCGUGCUGUUGGAGUGCACGUCCAAGCAGUGAGAUUGAGUGUUAGGCAAAUCCGGCACUCUUAAGAUUGAGCUGUGAUGGGGAGAGGAACUUGUUCCUCGAGUCGUUGAUUUCACACUGCCGAGAAAAGCCUCUAGCUAGAAUAACGGUGCCCGUACCGCAAACCGACACAGGUAGUCAAGAUGAGAAUUCUAAGGUGAGCGAGCGAACUCUCGUUAAGGAACUCGGCAAAAUGACCCCGUAACUUCGGGAGAAGGGGUGCUCUUUGAGGUUCACGCUUCGAAGAGCCGCAGUGAAUAGGCCCAAGCGACUGUUUAUCAAAAACACAGGUCUCUGCUAAACCGUAAGGUGACGUAUAGGGGCUGACGCCUGCCCGGUGCUGGAAGGUUAAGAGGAGUGGUUAGCGCAAGCGAAGCUACGAAUCGAAGCCCCAGUAAACGGCGGCCGUAACUAUAACGGUCCUAAGGUAGCGAAAUUCCUUGUCGGGUAAGUUCCGACCCGCACGAAAGGCGUAACGAUUUGGGCACUGUCUCAACGAGAGACUCGGUGAAAUCAUAGUACCGGUGAAGAUGCCGGUUACCCGCGACAGGACGGAAAGACCCCGUGGAGCUUUACUGUAGCCUGAUAUUGAAAUUCGGUACAGUUUGUACAGGAUAGGUAGGAGCCUUAGAAGCGUGAGCGCUAGCUUACGUGGAGGCAUUGGUGGGAUACUACCCUAAUUGUAUUGGAUUUCUAACCCGCAGCACUUAUCGUGCUGGGAGACAGUGUCAGGCGGGCAGUUUGACUGGGGCGGUCGCCUCCUAAAGAGUAACGGAGGCGCUCAAAGGUUCCCUCAGAAUGGUUGGAAAUCAUUCAUAGAGUGUAAAGGCAUAAGGGAGCUUGACUGCGAGACCUACAAGUCGAGCAGGGUCGAAAGACGGACUUAGUGAUCCGGUGGUUCCGCAUGGAAGGGCCAUCGCUCAACGGAUAAAAGCUACCCCGGGGAUAACAGGCUUAUCUCCCCCAAGAGUUCACAUCGACGGGGAGGUUUGGCACCUCGAUGUCGGCUCAUCGCAUCCUGGGGCUGUAGUCGGUCCCAAGGGUUGGGCUGUUCGCCCAUUAAAGCGGUACGCGAGCUGGGUUCAGAACGUCGUGAGACAGUUCGGUCCCUAUCCGUCGUGGGCGUAGGAAAUUUGAGAGGAGCUGUCCUUAGUACGAGAGGACCGGGAUGGACAUACCUCU